rnacentral:rRNA from 1 species
AGGGCAUACGGUGGAUGACUUGGGAUUGAGAGCCGAAGAAGGACGUGAUUACCUGCGAUAAGCCUUGGUGAGCUGGAAAUAAGCUUUGAACCAGGGAUUUCCGAAUGGGGAAACCCAGAACAAUAAGUUCUAUCUUAAUAGUGAAUACAUAGCUAUUUUGAAGGUAACGUUGGGAACUGAAACAUCUAAGUACCAACAGGAAGAGAAAGAGAAUUCGAUUCCGUUAGUAGCGGCGAGCGAAAGCGGAGGAGCCCAAACCAAUAAUUUAUUAUUGGGGUUGUAGGACUACCUAUACGAAGUUACAAAUUGUUUAUAUAGAAGAACACAGCUGGGAAGCUGGGGCAUAGAGGGUGAAACCCCCGUAUUUGAAAUGUAAACAGCUUCUGGUAGUAUCCUGAGUAGGGCGGGGCACGUGAAACCCUGUCUGAAUCUACCCGGACCAUCGGGUAAGGCUAAAUACUACUCAAUCACCGAUAGUGCACUAGUACCGUGAGGGAAAGUUGAAAAGAACCCCGGAAGGGGAGUGAAAUAGAUCCUGAAACCGUAUUGCCUACAAGAAGUCAAAGCCCGUUAAUGGGUGAUGGCGUGCCUUUUGCAGAAUGAGCCGGCGAGUUACGAUAGCAUGCGAGGUUAAAGAAAUGGAGCCGUAGGGAAACCGAGUCUUAAUAGGGCGAAUUAGUAUGUUGUUGUAGACCCGAAACCAGGUGAUCUAUCCAUGAGCAGGGUGAAGUAUUAGUAACAUAAUAUGGAGGCCCGAACCAGUAGACGUUGUAAAGUCUUUGGAUGACUUGUGGAUAGUGGUGAAAUUCCAAUCGAACCUGGAUAUAGCUGGUUCUCCCCGAAAUAGCUUUAGGGCUAGCGUCUUGAUAAGCGUGACGAGGGUAGAGCACUAAUUAUAUGAUGGCCCCAUCUAGGGGUACUGAAUAUAGAUAAACUCCGAAUAUCGUCAUUAGCAUGCAAGGCAGUCAGUAUAUGGGUGAUAACGUCCAUAUGCGCGAGGGAAACAACCCAGAUCGUCAGCUAAGGUCCCAAAAUAUGUACUAAGUGGGAAAGGAUGUUGAGUUCCAUAGACAGCUUGGAUGUUGGCUUAGAAGCAGCCAUCAUUUAACGAGUGCGUAACAGCUCACAAGUCGAGGGAUUCAGCGCCGAAAAUUUACCGGGGCUAAGUACAUUACCGAAGCUACGAAUUUAUUUAUGAAUUCGUUCAUAUUUGAGUGGUAGGGGAGCGUUCCAUACUGGGAUGAAGUCAGAUCGUGAGGACUGGUGGACUGUAUGGAAGUGAGAAUGCCGGCGUGAGUAUCGAUUGAAGGUGAGAAUCCUUCACGCCGAUUGAGCAAGGAUUCCUGGGGAAGGUUCGUCCUCCUAGGGUUAGUCGGGACCUAAGGCGAGGCCGAAAGGCGUAGUCGAUGGAAAGCAGGUUGAUAUUCCUGCACCGACAUAUAGAGGGAUGGAAUGACGGAGAAGGCUAGGAAAAGCAUACGAUUGAAAGUGUAUGUCCAAGCAGAUGAGGUGGUUGUGUAGGUAAAUCCGCACAAUAUUCAAACAUUGAGCUGUGAUGGGGAGUGAACCCUUUUGGUAUUAACGAAGUUUCCGACGUCACACUUCCAAGAAAAGUUUCUACUGUUAAUCUAUAUGUUGCCCGUACUCAUAACCAACACUGGUGCUCAAGGAGAAUAUCCUAAGGCGAGCGAGAAAAUUGAGGCUAAGGAACUCGGCAAAAUGACCCCGUAAGUUAGCGAAAAGGGGUGCUGAUAUGUCUUCGGAUAAAUCAGCCACAGAAAAGAGGUCCAGCCAACUGUUUAACAAAAACACAGCUCUCUGCCAAAGCGUAAGCUGAAGUAUAGGGGGUGACGCCUGCCCGGUGCUCGAAGGUUAAGGGAAUCUGUUAGUAUUCGUACGAAGCAGUGAACUGAAGCCCGAGUGAACGGCGGCUGUAACUAUAACGGUCCUAAGGUAGCGAAAUUCCUUGUCAGGUAAGUUCUGACGUGCACGAAUGGUGUAACGAUUUGGGCGCUGUCUCGGGGUGAUGCUCGGUGAAAUUGGAAUCCCGGUGAAGAUACCGGGUACCUGCAGUAGGACGGAAAGACCCCGUGAACCUUUACUGUAACCUGGCAUUGGGCUUUGAUAUAUUAUGUGUAGGAUAGGUGGGAGAUUUUGAAGUAGAAACGCUAGUUUUUAUGGAGUCAUUCUUGAAAUACCACCCUUAAUAUGUUGAGGUCCUAACGGAAGUAAUCAAUGUUGCUUUUGGACAUUGUCAGGCGGGCAGUUUGACUGGGGCGGUCGCCUC